rnacentral:rRNA from 1 species
GACGAACGCUGGCGGCGUGCUUAACACAUGCAAGUCGAACGGAAAGGCCCUGCUUUUGUGGGGUGCUCGAGUGGCGAACGGGUGAGUAACACGUGAGUAACCUGCCCUUGACUUUGGGAUAACUUCAGGAAACUGGGGCUAAUACCGGAUAGGAGCUCCUGCUGCAUGGUGGGGGUUGGAAAGUUUCGGCGGUUGGGGAUGGACUCGCGGCUUAUCAGCUUGUUGGUGGGGUAGUGGCUUACCAAGGCUUUGACGGGUAGCCGGCCUGAGAGGGUGAACGGCGACAUGGGGACUGAGAGAGGCAGCAGAAUGCUACGGGAGGCAGAAGUGGGGAAUAUUGCACAAUGGGCGGACGCCUGAUGCAGAAACGCCGCGUGCGGGAUGACGGCCUUCGGGUUGUGAACCGCUGUCGCCUGUGACGAAGCGUGAGUGACGGUAAUGGGUAAAGAAGCACCGGCUAACUACGUG